GCAAAAAUAGGAUGUGCCUGGGAAAUGCAGGCAGUCAUUAAAAUGACUGUGUUUAGUACUACCCUGUAACAAUUUAAGCAGGUUCCUAGUGCUCUAAAUAAAAUUUCAGGUUGAUGUGGCUUGAACUUCAUGGAGUGCUGUCAAAUCGGCCUUCAAAUUUUGCGCACGUCUUCAGUGGUAACCCUUUGUCAGCUAUAGACUUGCUGAAUGUCCUGCCAAGACCACUUGGGAAGAAACCUCCUGCCAGGGGUGUGAUGACAGAGGCAAGGAGGGAGGAGGAGGUGCUGAGGCUGAUGCUGGAGAGAGUGGAGUCUGAACUGAGGGAGGCGACAACCCUGGGACACAGUGUCGCCGCGCUGCUGCGCUCUCUGCGGGACAGACAUGGAUCGAGUGAGUGGGACCUAGGGGUGAAGAGGUAAAGCUGGACGUGGGUGUCAUCAUCGGAGGUCGGAACCAGCAAUAGCAAGGCAAAAUUUUGGGCCUGGAAGUCAUGUUGGGUGACCCUUCGAAGGGGCUGUGCAAUGUAAUGCUUCAUCCUGCUGAAUGGAGAUUGUGUAUGUGUGUGUGUGGUGUCCCGUCCCAUCCCCCCCGGUUACUUAAAGUAUGACUGGACAGUCAUUUGACUUUUUAUUUUAGAUGGUGAACCUCUUCUCCUUAUCCUCCUCCAUCAGACUUUACAGGGCUCCACAGAGGCUGUAGAGGAAGCAUUUGACUGUGAGGCGCUUGUCCAGACAGAGGCACUGCUGGGUGAACGUGUGACUGGGGGGGUUGUCCAAGCGUGGAGCAGGAUUCAAAAGAAACUUCAGCAGUUCAUCUCUCGGGGUAUUUUGAUGCCGUCUGAAAGGUAAUGCAUUCAGUUUGGCUCUAAGUAACAGCAACAAUGAAACACUGUAUGCGUGUCUGUGUUUUGUGCGAGAGAAGGCCUGUCCUCUAGUGCCGUGGGGACCGAUCAAGAGAAGCUACUGGCUCAGCUGGAGGCCGAACUGGAACAAAACAAGCAGCUGGUCAGAAUGCAGCAAGAGCUCUUGGAGGUAAACUCUGUCUGGAAACCUGUGGCCCCAAGAGAUGGAAAUCACUCAGAUCUUAUUUUCAUACAAUGCUCUUCUCAGCUCAGACACAGAGCAUGAAAGACUAGAUAUAUGCAGAAAAAGCGAUGAGGCCGAGUUGGACAUAUGGCUGAGUUGGACGAGUAGGCUAUCUGGCAGCUGAGGAGAGGAAAACAGACUCUCAACUAUUAGGAGGGGGAGAAGAAUAAACCACUGGGGGUCCACUUGCCUGGGUUUUUU
rnacentral:lncRNA from 1 species